rfam:Ixodes scapularis strain Wikel colony gcontig_1108378571566, whole genome shotgun sequence.
GCAGUCGUGGCCGAGUGGUUAAGGCGAUGGACUCGAAAUCCACUGGGU